rnacentral:lncRNA from 1 species
ACCCCCGUCUCUCAUCUCUCAUCUCACCCUCUCCAACCGGAACCGAAACCCUAGCAGCCACGCUAAAAUCCCACCGCCUGAGGGUGGCGGCGCCACCACCAAUCAUCACCAAAAUAACACCCUAGGAUCGUCUUCGAUCCCUCAUUCCAAAUCUUCACUUAGAUUCCUUCGAACAUCUCUGGAAUUUCUCGAAUCUUACAUCUGAGAGUCGAGCCUUAGGAGCCAAAUCCUGACCAGUGCAUGCAAGGUCAAGAGUCCGUUUUUCUCACGAGUUUUAGGGUCGGUUUAGUUGCUAAAUAAUGUUGUUCGUUUGUUCUUGACAAAGAACAAAUGAUUAACCUCAUUUCGAGACUCAAAUCGGAGGGUCAGUCGUGAUCGAGUUUAAAAUCGGUGAGUUUUUUCUUAGUUUUUGUUGGUUUUGUUUAUUUCACCUCGUAUUUGAAUUUUUCUUCUGACUGAAACUAGUUGAGGUUCCAGUUGAACCCAACUUUUUCCCUUUUAAGUUAAUCUGUUUCUUCAUACUUGUUUCCUUUAUGUUUAGUUUUUCUUUCUCCGCAAUUGCUAAUAAGCUGUGCCUUGAUCUUUUGUUUGCCCAUUUUCUUAGGUUUCGAGGUUUCAAAUUUCUGAUUUUUUCCCACUUUGCUCAUACUGAUUUCUACAAUAUAGCAUGUUCUGUUUUGUUUGAUUAAUUUUAUUUGUUUCAUUUUAUUUGUUUGAUCGAUGAUCCAUUAGUAGUAGAGUUCAAUUAUGAGCUUUAGUAAUUAAAGUUAAUUCAAGCCAAAAAUUAGAGUUAUUUGGAUUUGCCUUCCAGUUUUAAGAUUUCUUAUGUUCUUCAGUGUCAUUUGGUCAUUCUGAGUAUUCAAACCCCUCAUAAGUAACUAUGGUCAUCACUGACUAGUUAAAAGGGGCUGGUAUAGUUGGACUUUGGGUUAGUUUAACUUAAGUUAACAAUUCGGAGGGUAAAUAACAUGUUUGUUAAGGGUAAUUUGGGGAAUUUAAUUAGGGAAUCUCCCACUAACUGGUUUAGGCAGCUUCUGGGAAGGUGCCAUUAGGACUUAAAUGAAAUUUUGAGUUUUAACCUAGGUAUUUCUAAGCAAAAACCAAAAUUCCAAGAGGGUCAAAAUGCAAAUUUAAUUUCUUUUAGGCUGCCCUAAUAGCUUGCCUAUAAAGGCAUUGCUACUUGAAGCUCAAGUCAGGUUGUUAGAGUGAAAAUUCUGAAAACAACUGAACGACUGAAACUUCUGCAGAGAACACUGUUUCAUUGAGCUUUAGUUUUUAAAUCUGGAAUCCUCUUCUUCCUGAAUUGAUUUCCUGAUUGUUUGAACUUAGAAAUUGUUUGAGAUUUAGUCAUUGAGGUUGGUUUUGAGGUCAGCCGGGUCGAUUGUAUGUUUGAAACUGGAUCUUGGUUUGCUGUAUUUCAUUUUCUGGUUUUAAAAUUGGUUGGUUGGUUUACUCCUGCUGCUGGGAUCUGCUAUUGUUUCUUCAUUUGCUGAAACCUCCCUUCUUCUUGUUUCCUCUUAUUUUCCAGGUACACGACCCUGUAACUCUGUUGGUUGUGAGGUGAAAACUUGAAGAAUGAAUUGAAAAUGAAGAAUCGAAGAAUAGAAAUUAUCCCAUUUUUGUUUCACAGAUUUGUUUUCUAAUUUACUAUGAUCACCUUGUCUAAAUCAGUAGUUUGUAUUUAUUAGUAGAAG